GGUCUUGCUGUUAAUUAGAGAGCUGAGCAAUACAAUAACAUUCUCUCCUGAGAAUAUUUGCAUUCAUUUGGUUCGUGUCUGGUAGAAUGGCAUGGUCAUUAGGCAAGAGGUCUGGUCUCCUUGGUAAUGAUAAAUGCAAACUAGUGUCAUUUUUCUGGAAUGUUGCCACCGUUCAGAAAUGGAAUGCACCUUGCAUUAGAAGUAGUUAUUUUAAAAAAAAACUACCCCAAGGAAACACUGAUGUGAGCUGAAGACUCCACGGAGGUGGAAAUUGAUGAUAUUCUGAAGCUAAAACAACACCCAAUUAGGUGCAGAAAAAUUUGGAGCAGACGUUGAAUAAGAGGCCAGAUUCUGUCCUUGGGGUGGAUGAUGUAGCCUGAUGUCUGCAGAACAGUAGACAAGGAAAAUGCCAUCACUCUGCUGUUACAGCUGCCUGGAGAGUGUUGUGCACUGUUGUGGCCUUCUAUAUUGAUGUUUCGGACAUAAAUGCUUCGGACCUGGGGUCUCAUCCAGGAUACAGAGAGACCAAUAUAGAGCAGGAAUAUAUCCCCUUCAUGCUUGCCAGCCAUGUCUCCUCGAACAUAGAUUAUUACUUAUUCUCUCAGGUUGGUCAGAAAAGUAAAAUAGAUUCCCAUUCUGUACUAAACAUGUUCCCUCCUCCUGUGUCCUGCUGGGAGUACCAUUGCAACACUCAGCUGGGUUACGGAGGACUACCAAAACCAUCCCUUGUCAGCUUUCUCAGGGAGGAAGAGGAUAGAGCUGUGCCUUGUGAAACAGUGGAUUGCGUGUAUAAGGAGAUAGCAGAUGCCUGCUUAGAUGAAGUCACAAAAAGGUACAAAUGGUCAUAAAGCUUCAAGAGAAUCCUCAUCAUUCAGUUUUACAGUAGCGCAAACAUGAUCAAGUUUGUAAAUCUCCCAUGUUUUUCCCUUGCUUCUCUUCCCGCACCUCCUUGCAUAAAAAACAUCUGUUAUGGAGGAAAAGAUGGAAUAGAUGUACAACACCCUUAGAUUGGUAGUGCUAAAAGCUGUCUGGAAGCAACAUGUACUUCUCUCUUUCUCUCCCUCCGUCCCUCUCUCUCUCUCUGUAUCUCUCUGUAAAUGUAGUAGGAUGUUCUAGUUUGUCACCUAUUGCUGAAAUAAAUGAAAAGACCAUUCAUUUAUUGUAGAUGAA
rnacentral:lncRNA from 1 species